UGAAAAUAAUUUUGGCCUCGUUUGCCAAUAUUCCCUGCUCCAGCCGUAAAGGCGUGUGUCUGAGGAUACAUGGAGACAGCUACAAGAACCAGUAGAAUGACAACAGUGAGUCGUGGACACAUCUUUAGGUGAAUGUAGUCUGUGGCAAAGAGACGUGCUUGAAUCUAACCAAAUUCUCUUGAAGCAAAUCUACUCCAGAGGGAUCGCUAGGCUGCCCUCAAAAUGAACAUCAAAGCUUUCACAGUUGUAAUAGCCGCAGUGUUUAUCAUCUGUGUUCCUGAAGGACAAUCAUUCACAGCUGGGGCUGGUGUGAUUACCAAUGGAAAAGAACCAAGAACUGGAAAACGGCAGCAGAAUCUUGUCCUUUCUUCAGAAGAAAUCGAGUUGUGCUGGAUGGUAGAAGCUUACUGCUCUUCGAAAAAGAGGAAUUACACAUAGAUCUGCUAGAGAUGAAUCCAAAGAUUAACC